AACCUCCUGGGCUCAAUGGAUCCUCAGCCUCCUCACUAGUGGGAACUACAGCAGGUGGGAUUCAAGGAAGAAAGCUGGACUCAUUAACAAAGGGACUAUACAAUGUCUCCAUACUCCUGAGAUGCGAUAGAAGACCACAAAGAUAGCGGCCAGAAGAGAGCUUGUUGAUGUCCGGCAUGAAUAAUGCCUGUCUGUGCCCAGAGAGUUUGCUCAGCCUGCCGUGGAUCGUUCCUGCUGGGGGCACCUGCAGAAGUCAUGAAGGUGGGGAAGGAAAGCAUCCACCCCUGCCUAAGGUGAAACUGCAUGGAACCAGCUCAUGAUUCUCUACAGCAAAAGACGGUGGGAAACACUCCACCAAAGACAAUCCUGCUGCUUUUAGCCCCACUUCAUUUCCACUUCCAGAGUUACCUGGUGUCGCCUGGGCCUUUUGAGGUUUCUACAGAGUAGUUAGGUUGCUCCUGAGCUUUUCCCUCUGCUGGAUGAGAUUCAAAAUUUUCAGAGCUAAGUCAAUUUCCAGCUGUCCUUCUGCUAUUCAAUCCUCACAUUGUAUUGACAUUGUCUC